ACCUCAGAACCUCAAAAAUGAACCCAAAAAUGGACCCAAAAUGGGACUCUGAAAGUGACCCCAGGAGUGACCCCAAAAGUGACCCCAGCACCCCCAGGAUGACCCCAAAUGUGACCCCAGCACCCCAGGAGUGACCCCAAAAGUGACCCCAGAACCUCAAAAAUGACCCCAAAUGUGACCCAAAAUGGGACUCUGAAAGUGACUCCAAAAGUGACCCCAAAAGUGACCCCAAAUGUGACCCCAGGACCCCAAAAGUGACCCCAAAUGUGACCCCCAAAUUGACCCCAGAAACUCAAAAAUGAACCCAAAAAUGGACCCAAAAUGGGAC